GAUGUAGUCUAGUGGGAAAGUAUCUGCUUUGCAUGCAGAAAGAUCCGGGUUCAAUCCCCAGGUUGGGCA